rnacentral:tRNA from 1 species
GGUCUGGUAGUUCAGUUGGUUAAUAAGUCCCGAUGUAUCGGGAAGAUCGCUGAGUUCAAGUCUCGUCCAGACUU